rnacentral:rRNA from 1 species
UGAAGAGGUUUGUGACUGAGUGGCGGACGGGUGAGUAACGCGUGGGUAACCUGCCUCAUACAGGGGGAUAACAGUUAGAAAUGACUGCUAAUACCGCAUAAGACCACAGAGCCGCAUGGCUCAGUGGGAAAAACUCCGGUGGUAUGAGAUGGACCCGCGUCUGAUUAGGUAGUUGGUGGGGUAACGGCCUACCAAGCCAACGAUCAGUAGCCGACCUGAGAGGGUGACCGGCCACAUUGGGACUGAGACACGGCCCAAACUCCUACGGGAGGCAGCAGUGGGGAAUAUUGCACAAUGGGGGAAACCCUGAUGCAGCGACGCCGCGUGAGCGAAGAAGUAUUUCGGUAUGUAAAGCUCUAUCAGCAGGGAAGAAAAUGACGGUACCUGACUAAGAAGCACCGGCUAAAUACGUGCCAGCAGCCGCGGUAAUACGUAUGGUGCAAGCGUUAUCCGGAUUUACUGGGUGUAAAGGGAGCGUAGACGGCUGUGUAAGUCUGAAGUGAAAGCCCGGGGCUCAACCCCGGGACUGCUUUGGAAACUAUGCAGCUAGAGUGUCGGAGAGGUAAGUGGAAUUCCCAGUGUAGCGGUGAAAUGCGUAGAUAUUGGGAGGAACACCAGUGGCGAAGGCGGCUUACUGGACGAUGACUGACGUUGAGGCUCGAAAGCGUGGGGAGCAAACA